AGCUUUGUCAUCAAUGGUAUUAUCCAGGGUUUCAGGAACGGUAAAAACAUAUUUGUUAGAAACAGUCAUUUUCAGAAUAUACAGACCACCACCCCAGAUUUGUUCAUUUUUAUUCCAUCCAAAAAAUGAAUUUGUUCAUGACAAUUUUUCCCCUUGCGAUAAAUCCAGUUUUGAAAUCUGUCGCUGUGAUUUACGGGAGAGCCAUUUAUGAGCACAUGAAAAAGCCAAAGCUUCUGGGGUGAAGGCAGCAGGAGAUGCACCAUCACUUCAUCUGACAAAAGUAACACAUAUGAUGCGUACAGGCUGCCCUGUCAUACAAAAAUGAGUUUGUGCCCAGCAUACAAUAGUCACAGGGCACAAUGGACCUACCAGGCAAGUGUUUCAAACUAGCAGGAUAUUGCAUCAUUUUCAAAUGCAUUUUGAAAAGGCCCUUUAUGAAAUACGUGGAGCAUCUUCAUCUUAUGAACAACACAUUUUGCUGUAGAGUGAACAAUGUUCCAAAACAGAAAAAUCAAUGCAAAGAGAGACUUAAGAACUAAGCAGCACUGUGUACAAGGUCUCUCUCCAAAGUACACUUUGCGAUCUUGCUUCUUCAUCAGUUUGUCAAUACUGAAUGCCUGAUUAAUAUAAUAAAAAUAUAAUAGUCGUAACUAAUUCAUUGUUUCAAAGAAAAAGAGACCAUGAAAGAAAACAGUCUUGGCGAAAUGUCAGUCUAUUGUCACAUCGCGCCAGCGAUAAGAGAAUCUUGUGAUUGCCCAAUAGUCAGCAAAAGAACACCUGGAUCAGACAUUCUAAUAUAUCUUCUGACAAUACAUAUUACCUCCACUGUAUAUGUUUGUUUUUUGGGGAGAAAAUACUUACCCUUCAGUUGUUUUUUAAAUAGGAUUGCAAUUGCCCCGAUGAUGAUGAUGAUGAUGAUGAGAAAUAGCAAACCAACAAUAAGUCCAAUUGGAGGUUCUAAAGACAAAAGAAAUUAUACGCCACAAUUAAUUUUAUGAAUACAACUCUGAGUUGUAAACAGUGUUAUGGAUACAAUUCUCAUUAACUGUAAAUGAUUGCUUAAUCACAACGAUUGAUAUUAACAAAACAAAUUAUAUUAAUCUGUAUAAAUGCAUAUAAACAAAUCCCAUUGUCCUGCACCACCUUUAUGGCUGCACAUAUGUAUUACUGCACAGCAUAACUCUCUAAAGGUAAAAUGUUGGAAAAAUAGCACUUUACUCCAUCUGCUUACCUGGGUCAAAUGCGACGAUUUGGUCACUCACAGCAAAGCUCACAGGGUUGCUGCAGUUACAUAUGUAAGCUUUUCCAACCUUGUCAUCAGUCUUCUCAAGUUUCAAGGUUCCAUCGGACUGCCGCAAUUCUUCUUCACCAUUUCUCCAAGCACACUGAACUUUAACGGUGGCCUCAUUCUUACAGGACAAUUCGCACUUGGAUUCAGUGCAGUUCUUAACAAUGAUUGGUUUGGAAACAGGAUCUGUUGAUCAAGCAAAGAACAGCUGUAUCAUAGAUAAUCUAAGCGACUGUCUACACUCCAUUACCUUUCAUAACGCUAAUCUGUAGAAGGCUGCCGAUCUGAGCAUGUGAAUAUUCAGUGUAUGACUACUGCAUUCAUCAAUGGAAAGAAAUACUAGUCUGUCUGAAUACUUGAUUCAAUGAGUUUAUGUUAAAUAUGAUUACGAUGACGAUACAGGGGUACAGAAGAGACAGGUUUACUUACCGAGUACCGUCAGCGUCCAUCUUUUUGUAGCUUGAAUGCCAUUUACAUCGGAUGAAUAAACUCCAUUAAACGUUGAAUUUAAUUUUGUGAUCCUCAUUUCUCCUGUUUUUUCGUUCACAG